GAGCUGCCCCUCCCUCUCGGGGUGAUCCGGUCUUUGAAACAGUCCCAAGAUUGAAUCCCAAACGGAUAAAAAAUAAUUAAAAUGGAGGAGAAAAUUACCCACAACGCACUUCUUGUCCUUCAUAACUCUCUGGUACCGAUGAUUGAGCAAUUGUAGAGGUGGAAGGACCAAGUUUUCCGAAGAGAUCGCUUCACAUUUCAUUGCCAUAUGCGAACUAGAAAAUCACUUGAAGCUCUACCUGGGAAAAAAAAAUCAAUUCAGCUGUUUAUUGAUGAUCUGACAGCAGAGCUAUGGCGUACAUUCAUUCGAAGCAGAUCAUCCAUGCUUUACCGUCUGGUGGUAAACCAAGUUUGGAAGUUACCUGCUUCACAAGAAAUCGCCAUCCACAGAUUCAUAUUGAGUGGUUUUUCCUUGCGCAUGUGAACAGAAAUCAGCAAAUGAGAAUGGAGAUUCCUGAAAACAUAUCUGAGAACUCUCUCCUAGUCCUCAAAAUAGCGAGGGAGAGGGCUACUUAGACGAUAAUAAUUGAAUGAAUUCUCCUGAAUUGGAGUCGGAAGUGUUCAGUCGCCAUGAAAAAGCAGUCAAAUAGACAGAAUGGAUUAAUCCAAUGGAAAGAACGAGGUUUCGAACCGCAGAACGAUCACAAAGCAAAGCCACUUCUGAAGAACAUCAAUGAUACAAGCGAAAACAGACCGUGAUUAUCACACCUAACCGCUCGACAGCUCAUAAUAAUACGCCAAACACGCACAAAAUCAGCGGAUGGUAUGGACGCGCACCCUUUCUAGUGUUCUUCAACACCUUUAACACCAUUAGACCUGCCGAUGAUAAACAGAUUUUGUACUCGAAACCAUUUUCAUCCAUCAGAGUCCGACAGAUCCACACCAGAGAAGGCGCAUUGCCGCGAAGGACCGUGCAGUGGCAGUGGAGGACCUUCUCCGCCGACAAGACGAGUUCGGAUCUCAUUUGCGGCCGUUUCCUGGCCGUGAAGGAAAAAUCCCUCGGGCAUCCGGACUGCGCCUUGGGCGGAGAUGGCCGCCACCCCAACCAUGAGCGCGGAGAUGAUCUGCAAGCCAGGCGAGAAUACAGAAUCAACAUCGAUUGCGCGAGAAUAUCGACGGGGUGGUCCGAAGCACCGUUCUAGCCGGAUGAGGAGAGAGAAUCGUGGCGAGGACGGCGGCGAUGAGGGCGGCAGAGUUGAUCCUGAACAGGAAGAGGCCGC
rnacentral:lncRNA from 1 species